GGUUAAGCGACUAAGCGUACACGGUGGAUGCCCUGGCAGUCAGAGGCGAUGAAGGACGUGCUAAUCUGCGAUAAGCGUCGGUAAGGUGAUAUGAACCGUUAUAACCGGCGAUUUCCGAAUGGGGAAACCCAGUGUGUUUCGACACACUAUCAUUAACUGAAUCCAUAGGUUAAUGAGGCGAACCGGGGGAACUGAAACAUCUAAGUACCCCGAGGAAAAGAAAUCAACCGAGAUUCCCCCAGUAGCGGCGAGCGAACGGGGAGCAGCCCAGAGCCUGAAUCAGUGUGUGUGUUAGUGGAAGCGUCUGGAAAGGCGCGCGAUACAGGGUGACAGCCCCGUACACAAAAAUGCACAUGCUGUGAGCUCGAUGAGUAGGGCGGGACACGUGGUAUCCUGUCUGAAUAUGGGGGGACCAUCCUCCAAGGCUAAAUACUCCUGACUGACCGAUAGUGAACCAGUACCGUGAGGGAAAGGCGAAAAGAACCCCGGCGAGGGGAGUGAAAAAGAACCUGAAACCGUGUACGUACAAGCAGUGGGAGCACGCUUAGGCGUGUGACUGCGUACCUUUUGUAUAAUGGGUCAGCGACUUAUAUUCUGUAGCAAGGUUAACCGAAUAGGGGAGCCGAAGGGAAACCGAGUCUUAACUGGGCGUUAAGUUGCAGGGUAUAGACCCGAAACCCGGUGAUCUAGCCAUGGGCAGGUUGAAGGUUGGGUAACACUAACUGGAGGACCGAACCGACUAAUGUUGAAAAAUUAGCGGAUGACUUGUGGCUGGGGGUGAAAGGCCAAUCAAACCGGGAGAUAGCUGGUUCUCCCCGAAAGCUAUUUAGGUAGCGCCUCGUGAAUUCAUCUCCGGGGGUAGAGCACUGUUUCGGCAAGGGGGUCAUCCCGACUUACCAACCCGAUGCAAACUGCGAAUACCGGAGAAUGUUAUCACGGGAGACACACGGCGGGUGCUAACGUCCGUCGUGAAGAGGGAAACAACCCAGACCGCCAGCUAAGGUCCCAAAGUCAUGGUUAAGUGGGAAACGAUGUGGGAAGGCCCAGACAGCCAGGAUGUUGGCUUAGAAGCAGCCAUCAUUUAAAGAAAGCGUAAUAGCUCACUGGUCGAGUCGGCCUGCGCGGAAGAUGUAACGGGGCUAAACCAUGCACCGAAGCUGCGGCAGCGACACUUAUGUGUUGUUGGGUAGGGGAGCGUUCUGUAAGCCUGUGAAGGUGUGCUGUGAGGCAUGCUGGAGGUAUCAGAAGUGCGAAUGCUGACAUAAGUAACGAUAAAGCGGGUGAAAAGCCCGCUCGCCGGAAGACCAAGGGUUCCUGUCCAACGUUAAUCGGGGCAGGGUGAGUCGACCCCUAAGGCGAGGCCGAAAGGCGUAGUCGAUGGGAAACAGGUUAAUAUUCCUGUACUUGGUGUUACUGCGAAGGGGGGACGGAGAAGGCUAUGUUGGCCGGGCGACGGUUGUCCCGGUUUAAGCGUGUAGGCUGGUUUUCCAGGCAAAUCCGGAAAAUCAAGGCUGAGGCGUGAUGACGAGGCACUACGGUGCUGAAGCAACAAAUGCCCUGCUUCCAGGAAAAGCCUCUAAGCAUCAGGUAACAUCAAAUCGUACCCCAAACCGACACAGGUGGUCAGGUAGAGAAUACCAAGGCGCUUGAGAGAACUCGGGUGAAGGAACUAGGCAAAAUGGUGCCGUAACUUCGGGAGAAGGCACGCUGAUAUGUAGGUGAAGUCCCUCGCGGAUGGAGCUGAAAUCAGUCGAAGAUACCAGCUGGCUGCAACUGUUUAUUAAAAACACAGCACUGUGCAAACACGAAAGUGGACGUAUACGGUGUGACGCCUGCCCGGUGCCGGAAGGUUAAUUGAUGGGGUUAGCCGCAAGGCGAAGCUCUUGAUCGAAGCCCCGGUAAACGGCGGCCGUAACUAUAACGGUCCUAAGGUAGCGAAAUUCCUUGUCGGGUAAGUUCCGACCUGCACGAAUGGCGUAAUGAUGGCCAGGCUGUCUCCACCCGAGACUCAGUGAAAUUGAACUCGCUGUGAAGAUGCAGUGUACCCGCGGCAAGACGGAAAGACCCCGUGAACCUUUACUAUAGCUUGACACUGAACAUUGAGCCUUGAUGUGUAGGAUAGGUGGGAGGCUUAGAAGUGUGGACGCCAGUCUGCAUGGAGCCGACCUUGAAAUACCACCCUUUAAUGUUUGAUGUUCUAACGUUGACCCGUAAUCCGGGUUGCGGACAGUGUCUGGUGGGUAGUUUGACUGGGGCGGUCUCCUCCUAAAGAGUAACGGAGGAGCACGAAGGUUGGCUAAUCCUGGUCGGACAUCAGGAGGUUAGUGCAAUGGCAUAAGCCAGCUUGACUGCGAGCGUGACGGCGCGAGCAGGUGCGAAAGCAGGUCAUAGUGAUCCGGUGGUUCUGAAUGGAAGGGCCAUCGCUCAACGGAUAAAAGGUACUCCGGGGAUAACAGGCUGAUACCGCCCAAGAGUUCAUAUCGACGGCGGUGUUUGGCACCUCGAUGUCGGCUCAUCACAUCCUGGGGCUGAAGUAGGUCCCAAGGGUAUGGCUGUUCGCCAUUUAAAGUGGUACGCGAGCUGGGUUUAGAACGUCGUGAGACAGUUCGGUCCCUAUCUGCCGUGGGCGCUGGAGAACUGAGGGGGGCUGCUCCUAGUACGAGAGGACCGGAGUGGACGCAUCACUGGUGUUCGGGUUGUCAUGCCAAUGGCACUGCCCGGUAGCUAAAUGCGGAAGAGAUAAGUGCUGAAAGCAUCUAAGCACGAAACUUGCCCCGAGAUGAGUUCUCCCUGACUCCUUGAGAGUCCUGAAGGAACGUUGAAGACGACGACGUUGAUAGGCCGGGUGUGUAAGCGCAGCGAUGCGUUGAGCUAACCGGUACUAAUGAACCGUGAGGCUUAACCUU
rnacentral:rRNA from 1 species